rnacentral:rRNA from 1 species
GUCCUACGGGGCGCAGCAGUGAGGAAUAUUGGUCAAUGGGCGGGAGCCUGAACCAGCCAAGCCGCGUGAAGGAAGAAGGCGCCAAGCGUCGUAAACUUCUUUUGUCGGGGAACAAAGGGCGCCACGUGUGGCGCUGUGAGUGUACCCGAAGAAAAAGCAUCGGCUAACUCCGUGCCAGCAGCCGCGGUAAUACGUAGGUGGCAAGCGUUGUCCGGAUUUAUUGGGCGUAAAGCGAGUGCAGGCGGCUCAAUAAGUCUGAUGUUAAAGCCUUCGGCUCAACCGGGGAAUU